rnacentral:rRNA from 1 species
ACUCAAUAGAUACCCCGGUAGUCCUGGCAGUAAACGGUGUGCGUUUGGUGUGGGAGGAAUCGACCCCUUCCGUGCCGGAGCUAAACGCGUUAAAAACGCACCGCCUGGGGAGUACGGUCGCAAGAUUAAAACUCAAAGAAAUUGACGGGGGCCCGCACAAGCGGUGGAGUAUGUGGCUUAAUUCGAUGCAACGCGAAGAACCUUACCUGGGCUUGACAUGCAUCUCUAAGGCGGUGAAAGCCGUCGAGUGGAGCAAUCCACAAUUUGCACAGGUGCUGCAUGGCUGUCGUCAGCUCGUGUCGUGAGAUGUUGGGUUAAGUCCCGCAACGAGCGCAACCCCGUUGUGAUCUGUUGCCACCUCCUUUAUGGAGAGCACUCUGGUCAGACUGCCCUGUGAAACGGGGUAGGAAGGUGGGGAUGACGUCAAGUCAGCAUGGCCCGUUACGCCCAGGGCUGCACACGUACUACAAUGCCCAGUACAGAAACGAGCCGAGACCGCGAGGUGGAGGAAACUCACC